ACACGACUACAUUAGACUACCCCCGUAGUCCCAGCCCUAAACGAUGCGCGUUAGGUGUAUCGGUGACCACGAGUCACCGAGGUGCCGAAGGGAAACCGUGAAACGUGCCGCCUGGGAAGUACGGUCGCAAGGCUGAAACUUAAAGGAAGUUGGCGGGGGAGCACCACAACGGGUGGAGCCUGCGGUUUAAUUGGACUCAACGCCGGGAAGCUCACCGGAUAAGACAGCGGAAUGAUUGCCGGGCUGAAGACCCUGCAUGACCAGCUG
rnacentral:rRNA from 1 species